AGUGAACGCUGGCGGUAGGCCUAACACAUGCAAGUCGAACGGCAGCACAGUAAGAGCUUGCUCUUACGGGUGGUGAGUGGCGGACGGGUGAGGAAUACAUCGGAAUCUACUUUUUCGUGGGGGAUAACGUAGGGAAACUUACGCUAAUACCGCAUACGACCUACGGGUGAAAGCAGGGGAUCUUCGGACCUUGCGCGAUUGAAUGAGCCGAUGUCGGAUUAGCUAGUUGGCGGGGUAAAGGCCCACCAAGGCGACGAUCCGUAGCUGGUCUGAGAGGAUGAUCAGCCACACUGGAACUGAGACACGGUCCAGACUCCUACGGGAGGCAGCAGUGGGGAAUAUUGGACAAUGGGCGUAAGCCUGAUCCAGCCAUACCGCGUGGGUGAAGAAGGCCUUCGGGUUGUAAAGCCCUUUUGUUGGGAAAGAAAAGCAGCAGGUUAAUACCCCGCUGUUCUGACGGUACCCAAAGAAUAAGCACCGGCUAACUUCGUG
rnacentral:rRNA from 1 species